GAGGUCCUACGGGGCGCAGCAGUGAGGAAUAUUGGUCAAUGGCCGCAGGGCUGAACCAGCCAAGUCGCGUGAGGGAUGACGGUCCUAUGGAUUGUAAACCUCUUUUGUCAGGGAGCAAAGGGCGCCACGUGUGGCGUUUUGCGAGUACCUGAAGAAAAAGCAUCGGCUAACUCCGUGCCAGCAGCCGCGGUAAUACGGAGGAUGCGAGCGUUAUCCGGAUUUAUUGGGUUUAAAGGGUGCGUAGGCGGACGCUUAAGUCAGCGGUAAAAUUGCGGGGCUCAACCUCGUCGAGCCGUUGAAACUGG
rnacentral:rRNA from 1 species